GUCUACGGCCAUGCCACUCUGAACAAGCCCAAUCUCGUCUGAUCUCGGGAGAUAAGCAGGGGCGGGCCUGGUUAUUACUAGGGAGACCACCUAGGAAGACCGCGUGCUAUUAGCA
ensembl:rRNA 5S_rRNA 5S ribosomal RNA